rnacentral:lncRNA from 1 species
GCUGCCCCCACUGAAGCUGAACCUGGGCUCUGAUUCCACCUCAAACCCCAGGAACCAAAACUGAGCAACAGGAAGUGCCCCCGCCCCACCCCCCAUCCUGGCUGUGGUCACCCACCCAGCAGCAGGUCAGCAGGUUGCUGGGGAAAGCAGAAGAGAGGCCCUGAGAGGGAUUCUGACCACAUGGGGCUGUCAUGAGAUUAGAGGAAGCCACAAGUAGACACCUGCCCCAGCCCAGCCCCAGUGGCUGUGGGACAUGGGGACAUCGAGCCUGUCAUCUCUCAAGCCAGCAAUGGAACACACACCCUCCAUCAUAGAAGACACAAAGCCCAAACUGCAGGGAUGGGGGACCUCUGAGAGGAGGGUGGGGUGGCAAGAUUUUGUUCUUGUUUGAAAAUGCAUAGAUAGCCAGGCGCGGUGGCACAGGACUGUAAUCCCAGUGGCUCCAGAGGCUGAGGCAGGAGGAUCACGAAUUCAAAGCCAGCCUCAGCAACAGUGAGGCAUUAAGCCACUCAGUGAGACCCUGCUUCUAAAUAAAAUACGAAAUAGGGCUGGGGAUGUGGUUUAGUGGCCGAGUGCCCCUGAGUUCAAUCCCCGGUACCAAAGAGAGAGAGAGAGAGAAAUUCUGUAAAAUGGGCCCACGGUGCUGACCCCCACAUGCUUUCUUUUCCAAGAAGAAAUUUACCUGCAGCCCUGCCUGGCCUCAGUGGACAGGAUAUGUCACAUUUCUCAGCAAACUACCUGUUCACUGUAGGAGAAAUGCAGGCCCAAAUUAACGUUGAUAAGAGGAACCCAAGUUACCCUGAAGGGGGAGACUUUGGUGACCAGAUCCUGAAACUCUGGGAGAUAAGGGUAGUUCCUUUUAACCUUAAAAUCUGUAAGAAUGUGUGGUUAAGAAUCCUGUUAGAACCAGUCAGUGUGGACCAAGGUGAUGUAGAGUUGCCAUGACAGUGGGGACUUGAAAGUCUGAUGUCACCCUGCUGUCAGUCAAAAGUCAAGAGGUGGACCUGGGAGGGACUCUCUGGAAACUUCUCUGGGAUCCUCAAUAAAAUGGGAGUGCAAGAGACGCAUGCUGUCCCUCUCCUCUCUGAGAAGACCCACUCUCCCCCUUGAGACUGUCCCCUUUCCCCUUUCCUAGCCCUUCAAUAAACCCCUG